UGAAGAAAGGAGAGAGUUACAGAGACAAAAUGAAGAUGAGGAGAUUUCAGGCAAGAGCAUUGCUACAUGAUACAGUAUGUGAAAAAUCUAAACACAGGCAGCUUCAAGAUUAGAUACAACAAGAGUUUUGGAUGGGAGAAAUAUUAAAACUUUUUACCGGUUUAAGGAAAGGCGAGAGAUAGUGUUCGAAUCAGUGACUUGUCUUGCCCACAUUUGAGUUUGAUUGUAUCUUAUGCGGUUUUGUCAUAUACUUUGAUAUGAGUAGCUUUUCUUUCUUUUAAUUGAUGAGAAAAAAAUCCGUAACUCCCAAUACCAAAGCAACUCUAAUUCAAGCUGCUGGAACUGAAAACAAAUGAAAA
rnacentral:lncRNA from 1 species